GGCGGAAAACCUGAAAAGUAGUAGUUAAGGAUGUAAAAGUUAAAGAUUUAGAAAAGAACAAUACCAAGGUAUAAUACAGUUUCAAGUAAAGAGUAGUUAUAUUACCAAAUGCUUCAGAGACGGAAACAAAGAGAAAACUAAAGAACACUGAAAAAGACCUCUGAAUUUGACAGCUAGAAGGUCAGUGACCUUGGUGAAAGAAGCCUGCUGGAGGAGUGGAGUCAAAUAUCUGUCCCCAAGAGGUGAUGAGAACCCACCAGAUAAUGGGAAAAUUCCAGUAAAAGAAUUGAUCCUUUGAUCAGCAAAAUCAGCUCAGUUAAGCAAGGAACCACAUGGACUUCUGGAAAGGUGAUGUCAGAAGGAACU